rnacentral:lncRNA from 1 species
CUUCAAAUUUAUAAUGUAAUCUAUUUGAAAAUCAAUGACAAUGUUUUCAGUUGACAAUGAUAAAUGUUUAAGAUGAUAUAAGCUGAGACUGAUUUACAACAAAGUGGUAUAUUGUUCCAAAUUCAUCUCACUUGUUGAUUUGAUGUUUGACCUAACAAUCAACAAUGAUGACAGUCAAGCAAUCUAUCUUGUAGACAAGUAUUCUUUCUGCUUGGUCUGUGAUGAGGGACUCCAUACAAUCAGAUAUAAAUCUGUUAAACUAGAAGUUAAAGGAUUAUUUUCCAAAUUUAUCCUAUAUUGUCUAAUAUUGUUAGUGGAAUAUGAUACAUUUUCACAAUCAAUAAUUUACUAUUUACUACAAAUACUAAUAAUAAUAACAAAAACAAUUAAUACAAACAAUUACAAUGGUGUUAAGAAUGGUACAUGGUAACAAAAAGCUUGACAAUUGUACAAUAAUUAGGACUAAAUGAGGAUAAGAGAGAAUGAAGUGAACUGACUAUACAUGAUGACAGCAUCAGAGUCAGUAUUGAGUCUAUGGGAGCAGUGUAUUAUCAAUUCUUGUGACUGUAUUAAUUUGCAUAGAACAGUCGAUUUUAAUGUAAAAGAUAAUAGUGACAGUAAGUAAUGAUAUUUAUCUUUAUGUAAUCUCAUCUUUAGGUUUUCGGUUUUCAAUUUUGAAUAAACAUUCAAUACAAUUUGCUUAAUUUGAUGGCUAAUUCAUAC